rnacentral:lncRNA from 1 species
CAUGCCAUAACAGUAUCUCCACACUCCUUGAUUAAGAGGAUGACUAACUCAUAUAGUACGCAAUGACCUAUACUCGAUAAUGCUAUCAUCCUAGUAAUAGCAUAUUAUUGAUCAUGAAUAUUUUCAAAAACUUAAUGACAAAUCUUUCUUUGUCAAUUAAUUAUAGUCCUAAAGACUUCAUUACAAUAUAGGAGUUCAAAGAUGGAUAAUUAUAAUAAAAAUAUCAAAUAAUUUUUAUUAA